CCGGCCAUUGGCUGGAGUGAUGAACACUAGUGACGCAUGGUAAAAGUUGCCCUGCUUUUCCACAAAAUCCGCCUCCUACCGCACAUAUCGUUUCCGACCUAGAUUGCAGAGUUAACACCAUAAGGAGACAUCAACUGUCUGGCGGAGCUCCAAGAGAAAAUCACUUCCGUCACGUCAGACGAGGUCGCCAAGAAUAUCGACAAAGGCCACGAUACAUCCGUCUUUGUAGCGGAUGUAGAAGGGGGCGACAUGAAAGCGAAUGACGAACUCGACGAGGAGGUGGUUGGUGCAUGCCUGAGGUGCUGAAGAGAUUGUGACCGAGAUCAUUAAGUGAGUGAUAUACCAAUUGUGCCGGGCCAGGAUACUUAUUGAUCCUUCUUUCAAUCCACGCGAGGAUCCGGAACAACCUGUGCUCACCUUCCGAUUUUGGUUCUUGGUACUGGUUUGGCUUGUUUUGGCAAUGUUUUACCUGAGAUCUACUACUGGAAAGCGACGAAUGAUGCACGUUGCCAAAACACAGUUGAGAAUCCUCAAAGCUCCAACUAUUGCAAUCUUGCACACUUGUGCAACUCAAUGAUCUCAACUGGGUGUCUUACGAGUCUGAACGGCAACUUACCGAUCCAUAGGUUACAAUGUUGAUGCAUCUGUUCUCUGCCUUGGAUUUAGAGAACGUUUCUAAUGCGAAAUCAGACCACAUGGACCGAGGGCUCGGUUUCACAGGUAACCAAUGGAGCCUGAUGUUCACAAUGUUUUUUUCAUACCAUGACGUUGCAUGACAUAUCCAGGAGCUUGCUUGAGCAAGGAAUUUGGACAUAAUCGCAUGUUGCCAUUUACAUGGCAGGAUAAAUGCCAACGGGAUUCCUCGAGAUGCAAGGCUGACCGACAUUGGAGAUAAAUGAGGCUCAACGACAAUGAUUAACGCGGCGUUAAGGAUUUUGCAUCAUAUCUCGCCGUUCGUCUUUUGCGCGGUAUUUUCGAAAGCUGCAACUAUACUCAGACUGGGGCAAGACAGAGAAGAGCAUAGCUGACUGUAUAGUCAUUGCAUGAAUGCCGUCAAGACGAAUAUCCGGCAACGUUUCUCGACUGGAAUCGCCAAAGAUCUUGGCACAUCUCCUGCAGACCUCUGCGCGCAAUGAAUCCAAGCUCUUCUUUCGCCAGUCGAGGGUCGGCUGUCAAGUCCGGAACGUCACCGGAUCUAGAAAGCCCAAUUUUAGCUUCAUUCGGGAAAAUGGUUGAUUAACCUAACCUACCUUCGUUCCACGAUUUCGUACUGGUACCCAUAUCCUGUUGCGAUUUUCAUCUCGUUAAUCAUCUCAAGAACGGUGAUACCCUUGCCUCUCCCCAGGUUGAAUGCGCGGAAAUACCCGUUUUUCUUCGUAUCAACUGAGUGGAAGAUACCUGAACUUUGAGUUGUGAUUUCUGACUUGGCGAGAGCGUCAAGCCCGAGGAGAUGGCCCUCAGCAAGGUCCAUGAUGUGAAGAUAAUCCCGAAGACAUGUGCCGUCUCUGUGAUUACACAUCGUCAGAAUCGAUUAAGAUCAAACAGCACGCAUAACCCACCUGGUAGGGUAGUCAUUCCCAAAAACCUUGAGAUCAGAUGAUGAUCUCCCCACCGCGAUCUGAGCUAGAAUUGGAAGUAGGUUACCUGGGCGGCCUUUAGGCUCUUCCCCUAGCUGGCCGGACAGAUGAGCCCCAGCCGGGCUGGGUGUGAGGUUUUAGCGGGCCUCCCAAUGGCAAGGAAAAUUCUCUCACUUACUUAAAAUAUCUCACGCUUAUCGCUUUGAGACCUUGAAUGCCAGCCUUGGCUGCGUCAGCCCGGCAUACGUCUCGGAUCACUUCCUCUGUGAUCGCCUUGGUACGCCCAUACACAGAUUCAGGUAUGAUCUCAGAGGUCUCGGGGAUUGGAAUCAUCGCUGGGGUGCCGUAGACGGUGGCGGAUGACGAGAAGACAAGGUUGUUGGUUUGGAAUCGUUGCAUAAUCUGGAAGCUGUCGAUCAGAGUUGGUCAAUAGCCUGGACAGUAUGAACAUACCUUCAGGAGCGAGAUUGACCCCCCGACGUUGACCUCGUAAUAAUCUAACGGAAUCUCACUCGAUUCUCCGACUGCUUUGAGUGCAGCUAGGUGGAUUACCGCCCAUAUGCCGCCUUUUGACUGAUAUUGCUUGAACACCUUGUCGAUUUCUUCCGCGUUACGAAUAUCGCACUGGUGGUAAAGGGGUUUGGGAGCAUGUGGGCUAUUAAAGAUCGAAGAUCAGCUAUGCCGGUCCAUGCCAUGUAUAUGGACUUACCCUACUUCAUUUUGGGCUAUUUGAUUGCAGCGCUCGAGAGCUUGAGGGUAUGCGUUGUGCGCAUUGUCAAUGAUGAUGGGCAAGUAGCGACCAGAGACCAGAAGUGAGAGGACAACGUGAGAUCCUAUGUAUCCGAGUCCACCGGUGACAAGGACGUUCUGUAAUGAGAAUUAGCCUUGGUUUUGUUGUAAUUGUAAUAGAAUGGUCCCACUUUCAAAGGCUGUCCAUGGACAGACAAGCUUGAUGUCGACGUUUGGUUCAUGGUAACUCGAGUCUGUUCAAAAACCAUAAUGCAGGGAAAGUCGAUGCAACAGAAUCAUGAACGGGAAUACUCAGAAUUGGACCCGAGCACGAACGGGAAUCUUGCCCAAAUAAUGCUUUGUUCGAACGGGAAUUUCGAGGAUGGGCAAUUCUGCGAACGGGAAUGUGUAGUAGAGGAAGCGAUGAACGGGAAUUCUGCGAACGGGAAUGUGUAGAAGAGAAAAUGAUAAACGGGAAUUCUGUUGCAUCGAUGAUGACAU
rnacentral:sRNA from 1 species